UACGUAGGUGGCAAGCGUUUGUCCGGAUUUACUGGGCGUAAAGAGCGCGCAGGCGGUCGUUCAAGUCGCGUGUGAAAGCCCCCGGCUCAACUGGGGAGGGUCACGCGAUACUGAUCGACUCGAAGGCAGGAGAGGGAAGUGGAAUUCCCGGUGUAGUGGUGAAAUGCGUAGAUAUCGGGAGGAACACCAGUGGCGAAGGCGACUUCCUGGCCUGUUCUUGACGCUGAGGCGCGAAAGCUAGGGGAGCAGA
rnacentral:rRNA from 1 species